GUGGGGAAUCUUAGACAAUGGGCGCAAGCCUGAUCUAGCCAUGCCGCGUGAUCGAUGAAGGCCUUAGGGUUGUAAAGAUCUUUCAGUGGGGAAGAUAAUGACUGUACCCACAGAAGAAGCCCCGGCUAACUCCGUGCCAGCAGCCGCGGUAAUACGGAGGGGGCUAGCGUUGUUCGGAAUUACUGGGCGUAAAGCGCACGUAGGCGGAACAGAAAGUCAGAGGUGAAAUCCCAGGGCUCAACCUUGGAACUGCCUUUGAAAGUCCUGUUCUUGAGUUCGAGAGAGGUGAGUGGAAUUCCGAGUGUAGAGGUGAAAUUCGUAGAUAUUCGGAGGAACACCAGUGGCGAAGGCGGCUCACUGGCUCGAUACUGACGCUGAGGUGCGAAAGCGUGGGGAGCAAACAGGAUUAGAAACCCCGGUAGUCC
rnacentral:rRNA from 1 species